AGAACGAACGCUGGCGGCAGGCUUAACACAUGCAAGUCGAACGCUCGUAGCAAUACGGGAGUGGCAGACGGGUGAGUAACGCGUGGGAACAUACCCUCCGGUUCGGAAUAGCUCAGGGAAACUUGGAUUAAUACCGGAUACGGCUGAGAGGCGAAAGAUUUAUCGCCGGAGGAUUGGCCCGCGUUCGAUUAGCUUGUUGGUGAGGUAACGGCUCACCAAGGCGAUGAUCGAUAGCUGGUCUGAGAGGAUGAUCAGCCACAUUGGGACUGAGACACGGCCCAAACUCCUACGGGAGGCAGCAGUGGGAAUAUUGGACAAUGGGCGCAAGCCUGAUCCAGCCAUGCCGCGUGAGUGAUGACGGCCUUAGGGUUGUAAAGCUCUUUCGCUCGGGACGAUAAUGACGGUACCGAGAUAAGAAGCCCCGGCUAACUUCGUGCCAGCAGCCGC
rnacentral:rRNA from 1 species